CUGAGGAGGAGAAAAUAAUGAAUGAUGACAGAGGGCCGCUAUUUAAAGGUCACUCGUUCCGUCUUCAAAAUAAGAGCAUGCAUUUUGAACUGUAUGCUUACGUUCAGUCUCAGUGAUGCCACCUUAAAAAUAAGACUUUAUACAAAUAUCACAGGCUGAGUGACGUGUUUUGUCUCCAUGAGUGUGUUUGGAUCUUUGAUGAACUCAUUGGAAUCACUUUUAUUUUGAAAGCUGCAUUGUUGUGACGUUUCCAGGUAACCCAAUGGAAUAAUUUGUCACCUGGAGUUAGCAGGAAGCUAACAGAAAUGAGCCUUUCAGCUUCAGAGGAGGUCAGGAGGUAAAGGUCUGGGACAGCGCGGCAGAGAAGGGGGACGACGAGUUCCCGGACUGGGAGCUGGAUGAGCUGCUGGUCUGGACCAACUCGCUCAACUUUGAGGAAUACAUGGAGGAGUGGAAACGCUUGGCCUGCAGUCACUCCUCUGCGACGGGCGAAGGUGAGAGUCCUUCCUGCUGUUAAACACUUUUUAACGCUUCACAGUAUGAGCUGUGCUGCCAUCUGCUGUUUAAGUUUGGGACUAACAAAACUGUUUUGCUUCAGCAUGUAGCUCUUCUUUUAUCCCCUUUUGUCCUGUUUCUUGGCCUCCUCCUCAUCUGGCAGAUGUUGACACACAUCUGGCCGGGUUGGAUCCACAGUAUGCUGGUGUGGCUGGUGAACACAGUUUGGUAAAAAAAAGAUUAAAAAAAUUCCCGAUGAAA